rnacentral:rRNA from 1 species
UACGUAGGGGCGAGCGUUGUCCGGAAUGAUUGGGCGUAAAGGGCGCGUAGGCGGCUUGUUAAGUCUGGAGUGGAAGUCCUCUUUUCAAGGGAGGAAUUGCUUUGGAAACUGGCGGGCUUGAGUGCAGGAGAGGUUAUCGGAAUUCCCGGUGUAGCGGUGAAAUGCGUAGAGAUCGGGAGGAACACCAGUGGCGAAGGCGGGUAACUGGACUGCAACUGACGCUGAGGCGCGAAAGUGUGGGGAGCAAACAGGAUUAGAUACCCCGGUAGUCCCUGAG